GACGAACGCUGGCGGCGUGCUUAACACAUGCAAGUCGAACGAAGAGCGAUGGAAGCUUGCUUCUAUCAAUCUUAGUGGCGAACGGGUGAGUAACGCGUAAUCAACCUGCCCUUCAGAGGGGGACAACAGUUGGAAACGACUGCUAAUACCGCAUACGAUCUAAUCUCGGCAUCGAGGAUAGAUGAAAGGUGGCCUCUACAUGUAAGCUCUCACUGAAGGAGGGGAUUGCGUCUGAUUAGCUAGUUGGAGGGGUAACGGCCCACCAAGGCGAUGAUCAGUAGCCGGUCUGAGGGGAUGGACGGCCACAUUGGGACUGAGACACGGCCCAGACUCCUACGGGAGGCAGCAGUGGGGAAUCUUCCGCAAUGGACGAAAGUCUGACGGAGCAACGCCGCGGGAGUGAUGACGGCCUUCGGGUUGUAAAGCUCUGUUAAUCGGGACGAAAGGCCUUCUUGCGAAUAGUGAGAAGGAUUGACGGUACCGGAAGAGAAAGCCACGGCUAACUACGUG
rnacentral:rRNA from 1 species